rnacentral:rRNA from 1 species
GACGUAGGGCGCGAGCGUUGUCCGGAUUUAUUGGGCGUAAAGAGCUCGUAGGCGGCUUGUCGCGUCGACCGUGAAAACUUGGGGCUCAACCCCAAGCCUGCGGUCGAUACGGGCAGGCUCGAGUUCGGUAGGGGAGACUGGAAUUCCUGGUGUAGCGGUGGAAAUGACGCAGAUAUCAGGAGGAACACCGGUGGCGAAGGCGGGUCUCUGGGCCGAUACUGACGUGAGGAGCGAAAGCGUGGGGAGCGAACAGG